rnacentral:rRNA from 1 species
AUUGAACGCUGGCGGCAUGCCUUACACAUGCAAGUCGAACGGCAGCGCGGGGCAACCUGGCGGCGAGUGGCGAACGGGUGAGUAAAAUAUCGGAACAUACCCUAGAGUGGGGGAUAACGUAGCGAAAGUUACGCUAAUACCGCAUACGCACUAAGGUGGAAAGUGGGGGAUCUUCGGACCUCAUGCUCAUGGAGUGGCCGAUAUCUGAUUAGCUAGUUGGUGAGGUAAAGGCUCACCAAGGCGACGAUCAGUAGCUGGUUUGAGAGAACGACCAGCCACACUGGAACUGAGACACGGUCCAGACUCCUACGGGAGGCAGCAGUGGGGAAUUUUGGACAAUGGGGGGCAACCCUGAUCCAGCAAUGCCGCGUGAGUGAAGAAGGCC